UGCUAAGGAGAGUAAAAAAACUGAUGGGGCAGGAGUAAAAUACUAAGGGCAGGUCUCUCCCUUUACUGGCGAUGCCUCGUCCUUGGUCCUCGUAUCCUGGCAGUUUACCAUUAAGGGCACAACUUCAAGAAGCUGGAAAGCCAUCAGGGUCUUUUGUCUAAGGCUUUCUCAGCAAUGAGGGGAUAACUUAAGAGGAGGAGACUAAUGUCCUGGUAUUCCUUAGGGAAACAAGCAGCUGAUUUGAGAAGCUAGUGGAUGUUUCUCAUAGUAAGAUCACUUUGAAGAAAGUAAAAAUGAAAACCAACAGAAACAAUAAGCCGAAGCCCAAGUUGUAUGAAACCUUCUCACAUCAAGUCUACCUGUUCCAGCUUCUGGAGUCUGGUGUUUGUUGAGAAUCUUAAGCCUUCAUUUGUAGAAUCCUUGUGCCUCUUUUCUGCAUUUUCCCCCUAA
rnacentral:lncRNA from 1 species